rnacentral:rRNA from 1 species
UACGGAGGGGGCUAGCGUUGUUCGGAAUUACUGGGCGUAAAGCGCGCGUAGGCGGACCUGCAAGUCGGGGGUGAAAGCCCGAGGCUCAACCUCGGAACUGCCUUCGAUACUGCGGGUCUCGAGUCCGGGAGAGGUGAGUGGAAUUCCUAGUGUAGAGGUGAAAUUCGUAGAUAUUAGGAAGAACACCAGUGGCGAAGGCGGCUCACUGGCCCGGUACUGACGCUGAGGAGCGAAAGCGUGGGGAGCAACAGG